GACGAACGCUGGCGGCGUGCUUAACACAUGCAAGUCGAACGGAAAGGCCCUGCUUUUGUGGGGUGCUCGAGUGGCGAACGGGUGAGUAACACGUGAGUAACCUGCCCUUGACUUUGGUAUAACUUCAGGAAACUGGGGCUAAUACCGGAUAGGAGCUCCUGCUGCAUGGUGGGGGUUGGAAAGUUUCGGCGGUUGGGGAUGGACUCGCGGCUUAUCAGCUUGUUGGUGGGGUAGUGGCUUACCAAGGCUUUGACGGGUAGCCGGCCUGAGAGGGUGACCGGCCACAUUGGGACUGAGAUACGGCCCAGACUCCUACGGGAGGAAGCAGUGGGGAAUAUUGCAAAAUGGGCGGAAGCCUGAUGCAGCAACGCCGCGUGCGGGAUGACGGCCUUCGGGUUGUAAACCGCUUUCGCCUGUGACGAAGCGUGAGUGACGGUAAUGGGUAAAGAAGCACCGGCUAACUACGUG
rnacentral:rRNA from 1 species